ACUCAAAGGAAUAGACGGGGGCCCGCACAAGCAGCGGAGCAUGUGGUUUAAUUCGAAGCAACGCGAAGAACCUUACCAAGGCUUGACAUCCCUCGCAAUCCAUGGAAACAUGGAGUUCCCUUCGGGGACGAGGAGACAGGUGGUGCAUGGUUGUCGUCAGCUCGUGUCGUGAGAUGUUGGGUUAAGUCCCGCAACGAGCGCAACCCUUGUUCUCAGUUACCAGCAAGUAAAGUUGGGGACUCUGAGGAGACUGCCGGGGAUAACUCGGAGGAAGGUGGGGACGACGUCAAAUCAUCAUGCCCCUUAUGUCUUGGGCUACACACGUGCUACAAUGGUCGUAACAAAGGGAAGCGAACCCGAGAGGGGGAGCGGAACUCAAAAAAGCGAUCCCAGUUCGGAUUGUGGGCUGCAACCCGCCCACAUGAAGUCGGAGUUGCUAGUAAUCGCGAAUCAGCAUGUCGCGGUGAAUGCGUUCCCGGGCCUUGUACACACCGCCCGU
rnacentral:rRNA from 1 species